UACGUAGGGUGCAAGCGUUAAUCGGAAUUACUGGGCGUAAAGCGUGCAGCGAGGCGGUGAUGUAAGACAGUUGUGAAAUCCCCGGGCUCAACCUGGGAACUGCAUCUGUGACUGCAUCGCUGGAGUACGGUAGAGGGGGAUGGAAUUCCGCGUGUAGCAGUGAAAUGCGUAGAUAUGCGGAGGAACACCGAUGGCGAAGGCAAUCCCCCUGGACCUGUACUGACGCUCAUGCACGAAAGCGUGGGGAGCAAACAGG
rnacentral:rRNA from 1 species